GGUGUAGCUCAAUUGGCAGAGCAGCGGUCUCCAAAACCGAAGGUUGUGGGUUCAAGUCCUUCCACC
rnacentral:tRNA from 1 species